rnacentral:rRNA from 1 species
GACGAACGCUGGCGGCGUGCUUAACACAUGCAAGUCGAACGGAAAGGCCCUGCUUUUGUGGGGUGCUCGAGUGGCGAACGGGUGAGUAACACGUGAGUAACCUGCCCUUGACUUUGGGAUAACUUCAGGAAACUGGGGCUAAUACCGGAUAUGAGCUCCUGCUGCAUGGUGGGGGUUGGAAAGUUUCGGCGGUUGGGGAUGGACUCGCGGCUUAUCAGCUUGUUGGUGGGGUAGUGGCUUACCAAGGCUUUGACGGGUAGCCGGCCUGAGAGGGUGACCGGCCACAUUGGGACUGAGAUACGGCCCAGACUCCUACGGGAGGCAGCAGUGGGGAAUAUUGCACAAUGGGCGGAAGCCUGAGGCAGCAACGCCGCGUGCGGGAUGACGGCCUUCGGGUUGUAAACCGCUUUCGCCUGUGACGAAGCGUGAGUGACGGUAAUGGGUAAAGAAGCACCGGCUAACUACGUG